UAUUUGACAAUGGGCGAAAGCCUGAUCCAGCAAUGCCGCGUGAGUGAUGAAGGCCUUAGGGUCGUAAAGCUCUUUUACCAGGGAUGAUAAUGACAGUACCUGGAGAAUAAGCUCCGGCUAACUCCGUGCCAGCAGCCGCGGUAAUACGGAGGGAGCUAGCGUUGUUCGGAAUUACUGGGCGAAAGCGUGCGCAGGCGGUUUUGAAGACAGAGGUAAAUCCCCGGGCUCAACCUGGAACUGCCUUUGUACUGCAAGGCUGAGACGGCAAGGGGAUGAAUUCCGCGUGAGCAGUAAAUGCGAGUUGCGAGAACACCAUGGCAAGGAAUCCCCUGGGCCUUCUGCGUAUGCAAUACGUAC
rnacentral:rRNA from 1 species